CAGGCCUAACACAUGCAAGUCGAACGAGACCUUCGGGUCUAGUGGCGCACGGGUGCGUAACGCGUGGGAAUCUGCCCUUGGGUUCGGAAUAACAGUUAGAAAUGACUGCUAAUACCGGAUGAUGUCUUCGGACCAAAGAUUUAUCGCCCANGGGAUGAGCCCGCGUCGGAUUAGCUAGUUGGUAGGGUAAAGGCCUACCAAGGCGACGAUCCGUAGCUGGUCUGAGAGGAUGAUCAGCCACACUGGGACUGAGACACGGCCCAGACUCCUACGGGAGGCAGCAGUGGGGAAUAUUGGACAAUGGGCGAAAGCCUGAUCCAGCAAUGCCGCGUGAGUGAUGAAGGCCUUAGGGUUGUAAAGCUCUUUUACCCGGGAUGAUAAUGACAGUACCGGGAGAAUAAGCCCCGGCUAACUCCGUGCCAGCAGCCGCGGUAAU
rnacentral:rRNA from 1 species